UACGUAGGGUGCGAGCGUUGUCCGGAAUUAUUGGGCGUAAAGAGCUCGUAGGCGGUUUGUCACGUCUGCUGUGAAAUCCCGAGGCUCAACCUCGGGCCUGCAGUGGGUACGGGCAGACUGGAGUGCGGUAGGGGAGAAUGGAAUUCCUGGUGUAGCGGUGGAAUGCGCAGAUAUCAGGAGGAACACCGAUGGCGAAGGCAGGUCUCUGGGCCGAUACUGACGCUGAGGAGCGAAAGCGUGGGGAGCGAACAGG
rnacentral:rRNA from 1 species